GCCGGGCGUGGUGGUGCAUGCCUGUAGUCCCAGCUACUUGGGAGGCUGAGGCAGGAGAAUUGCUUGAACCUGGGAGGUGGAGGUUGCAGUGAGCCGAGACUGCACCACUGCACUCCAGCCUGGGUGACAGAGCAAGACUCUGUCUCAA
rnacentral:sRNA from 1 species